rnacentral:piRNA from 2 species
UGUUUACAACUAAUUGAUCACAACCAG